rnacentral:rRNA from 1 species
UAUUCAAAAAUGACUCUCGGCAAUGGAUAUCCCAGCUCUCGCAUCGAUGAAGAAUGUAGCGAAAUGCGAUACUUGGUGUGAAAUGCAUAAUCCCAUUAACCAUCGAGUCUUUGAACGCAAGUUGCACCCGAGGCCCCUGAGCCAAGGGCACGCCUGCCUGGGCGUCAUGCAUCAUUGCCCCUCCCUCCCUUGCCCCAUUAGGUGUUGGAGAGUUGGUGCAGAUGUUGGCCUCCCGUUCCGUUUUGGUGCGGUUGGCCCAAAUGAUGGCCCCCGACAACAAAGUGCCACCACGGUUGGUGGUUCAAUCUUAGGUGGUGGAAUGCUGGACGUCGUGAUGGUUGUGUUGUCAUUGGGGUGUCGAGUACAUGACCCGAUGAGGGAUCCAUUGUUGACGGAGCCUUCCUUGCGACCCUUGGUCAGGCGGGGCCAUCCUCUGAAUUUAUGCAUUUCAAUAAGCGGAGGAAAAGAUACUAACAAGGGUUCCCCUAGUAAUGGCGAGCGAACUGGGAUCCAGUCAGCUUGAGAAUCGGGCGACCUUCGUCGUCCGAAUUGUAGUCUGUAGAAGCGUCCUUAGCAACGGACCGGGGCCAAGUCCCCUAGAAGGGGGCGCCAGAGAGGGUGAGAGCCCCGUCGUGCUCGGACCCUGUUGCACCACGAGGCGCUAUUGGCGAGUCGGGUUGUUUGGGAAUGCAGCUCCAAUUGGGCGGUAAAUUCCUUCCAAGGCUAAAUACUAGCGAGAGACCGAUAGCGAACAAGUACCGCGAGGGAAAGAUGAAAAGGACUUUGAAAAGAGAGUCAAAGAGUGCUUGAAAUUGUCGGGAGGGAAGCGGAUGGGGGCCGGCGAUGCUCCCCGGUCGGAUGUGGAACGGUGAAAGCCGGUCUGCCACUCGGCUCGGGGAGCGGACUGAUGCGGAUUGCAGCGACGCCCCAAGCCCGGGUUGUCGCGUUAUGCCCGUGGAGACGUCGUCGUCCCGAUCGUGGAAGGCAGCACGCACCUUUAGGCGUGCCUUGGCACCUACGUUCUUCGGAUAUCGGCUUUUGGGCUCCCCAUUCGACCCAUCUUGAAACACGGACCAAGGUGUCGGACAUGCAUGCGAGUCAACGGGUGAGUAAACCCGUAAGGCACAAGGAAGCUAAUUGGCGGGAUCCCUUUGUGGGUUGCACUGCUGACCGACCUAGAUUUUCGGAGGCGGGGCAUCGCCCCUCCUUUUGGACCCAAGGCUCGCCUCAGUGGGCUGAUCCGGGCGGAAGACAUUGUCAAGUGGGGAGUUUGGCAGGGGCGGCACAUCUGUUAAAAGAUAAUGUAGGUGUCCUAAGAUGAGCUCAACGAGAACAAAAAUCUCGUGUGGAACAAAAGGGUAAAAGCUCGUUUGAUUCUGAUUUCUAGUACGAAUACGAACUGUGAAAGCGUGGCCUAUCGAUCCUUUAGACCUUCAGAAUUUGAAGCUAGUGGUGUCAAAAGUUACCACAGGGAUAACUGGCUUGUGGCAGCCAAGCGUUCAUAGCGACGUUGCUUUUUAAUCCUUCGAUGUCGGCUCUUCCUAUCAUUGCGAAGCAGAAUUCGCCAAGUGUUGGAUUGUUCACCCACCAAUAGGGAACGUGAGCUGGGUUUAGACCAUCGUGAGAUAGGUCAGUUUUACCCUAUUGAUGAUAGUGUCGCAAUAGUAAUUCAACCUAGUAUGAGAGGAACUGUAGAUUCACACAAUUGGUCAUCGGGCUUGGUUGAAAAGCCAGUGGCGCGAAGCUACCGUGUGCCGGAUUAUGACUCAAUGCCUCUAAGUCAGAGUCCUGGCUAAACAUGCGAUGCGUGUGCCCGUUGCUCGAUUGCCGACUCGUAGUAGGUUCCUCUAGGCCCCCAAAGGCACGUGCCAUUGGUGAAUUCCUCGUGAUGGAUGACCCACGUGGGCCGCCUUUAAGCGCAAUUCCCACUGGGCGGGGUAGAAUCCUUUGCAGACGACUUAAAUACGUGACGGGGUAUUGUAAGUGGCAGAGUGACCUUGCUGCCACAAUCCACUGAGAUUCAGCCCUCUGUCGCAUCGAUUUGUCCCUCCCCC